GGACUGUGAUGAUUUCUGUGAUAAGGCUUCGUUCGUCGUAAUUGGCCAAAUCGUCCUUGCCGACUAUUCUUGCAAUAUCAGUACCCAGGUUCUGAGUCC
rfam:Phaseolus vulgaris cultivar G19833 unplaced genomic scaffold scaffold_59, whole genome shotgun sequence.